rnacentral:siRNA from 1 species
UCACAAAUCGUCGUCCCUCACCAUC